CGGGGUGUUAGCAGAGGUAGCUAGUCAGGCUCAUAACCUGAAGGUCGUGGGUUCGAUUCCCGCUCCCGCAACCA
rnacentral:tRNA from 1 species